rnacentral:rRNA from 1 species
GUUUGGACGGCGUAGCGCGGGGAUGGGUGAGUAACACUGGGCAAUCUGCCCUAAGACUGGGAUACACUGGAAACAGGUAGCUAAUACCGGAUACAACAUGAAUCGCAUGAUUCAAGUUUGAAAGGCGGCGUAAGCUGUCACUUUAGGAUGAGCCCGCGGCGCAUUAGCUAGUUGGUGGGGUAAAGGCCUACCAAGGCAAUGAUGCGUAGCCGAGUUGAGAGACUGAUCGGCCACAUUGGGACUGAGACACGGCCCAAACUCCUACGGGAGGCAGCAGUAGGGAAUCUUCCACAAUGGACGCAAGUCUGAUGGAGCAACGCCGCGUGAGUGAAGAAGGUUUUCGGAUCGUAAAGCUCUGUUGUUGGUGAAGAAGGAUAGAGGCAGUAACUGGUCUUUAUUUGACGGUAAUCAACCAGAAAGCCACGGCUAACUACGUG